CAAACACGACAAGGCGCGCAUAAAAAUGAGGUUAGCGGUUCCUGGAGUUGUAUUCGAAAAUUAAACUGUGGUAGAUAAACGGAUGAUGUUUUUUCCCCGAGUCACAGGACGGGAAAUUCGGGUUUGUUUACCCGACGGUUUGUAGGAUGAGGCGCUGGUUAGCUCUUACCUGUCGCUGCUUGUGUGUGGAACUGGUGGUGGAACAAGGGGAGGGUUGAAUGUUAGCCAGCACUGCGCCGCCGGUCCAGGGCACGGGCGCUCCAGUCCCCGCAGAGCUGAGAGACUUCCCCCCGCCUCCAUCUCUCUCGCUCUCCUUCCAGUCAGCGCGCAGCUCUCUCGAUCCGCUCAUUUCUCUUUCCAGAGAGACAUCCGCAUUUUCAAUCUCUCCGCUGCUAUAGCCGCUCGCAUCACGAAUGGGUCGCCUGGGUCUUGCUUCCAUUUGGAUUUUAAACUCGGCGCUCUCAAACUUGCAUGCGCAUGUAGCCUCUCGGGCUUGUUUUGAACACAUUUUGUGUAGCCGUGAUGACCAUAUGAAGUUUUAAUAAAUAGUGAAUUUAAUUGAAUAUGUUCCAGAGUGAUUUCUGUUUUGAUGUAUGCUUUUUAAAUAAAGAAAGAAAAGCA